rnacentral:rRNA from 1 species
GUGGGGAAUAUUGGACAAUGGGCGCAAGCCUGAUCCAGCCAUACCGCGGGGGUGAAGAAGGCCUUCGGGUUGUAAAGCCCUUUUGUUGGGAAAGAAAUCCUGUCGAUUAAUACUCGGUGGGGAUGACGGUACCCAAAGAAUAAGCACCGGCUAACUUCGUGCCGGCAGCCGCGGUAAUACGAAGGGUGCAAGCGUUACUCGGAAUUACUGGGCGUAACGCGUGCGUAGGCGGUGGUUUAAGUCUGCUGUGAAAGCCCUGGGCUCAACCUGGGAAUUGCAGUGGAUACUGGAUCACUAGAGUGUGGUAGAGGGAUGCGGAAUUUCUGGUGUAGCAGUGAAAUGCGUAGAGAUCAGAAGGAACAUCCGUGGCGAAGGCGGCAUCCUGGGCCAACACUGACACUGAGGCACGAAAGCGUGGGGAGCAAACAGGAUUAGAAACCCGAGUAGUCC